GUCGUGUGCGCCGAGAGCAAAAUUGACUGCACAUGGCGAGGUCUCGCACAAGCCGCACCCUCAUCGCCCUCAUCCGGAAUGUGCGCAGCGUGCACAGUGAACGACAAGAAUACUUGAAGACGGCGAAAGUGAGCACCUACUCGGGCGGGCACCCAUGGUCGCGCGCAUACUGGACACACGCGGGAUCGGCACCUACCGCCUCCAUGUGCGCGCAGGUGGCCGUGCCCCAAGGACAACCGUUUUCAUGCGCAUAGCGUAGGCAAUCGAGACGGCCUCUUUUCGCGGCGGUGAUGCAUGUGCGAAGAUGCCACGGGCAGCCGUGCUCGUGCGCAUAGCGCAGACAGUCGAUGUGACCGCCCUUGGCCGCCAUCCGUGUCACGUCGCUCACCCACGAAUAUUUAUGCUCGUGCGCGUAGCGCAAACAGUCGAGAUGGCCACCCGCGGCGGCGCCGAGACACGGCGUCACAAUCAUGCCAUUGCCACGGACCUCGUGCAGAUAGCGCAGGCAAUCGAGGUGGCCAUGCCUCGCGGCACUGAACAAGGUGCCCACGCACAUGCGCCAGCCGUUUGUCACUGCAUAGCGGAGGACGUCCAGAUGCCCAUUCCCCGCCGCUUGCCAACACACAUCAAGAUCGUGCGUAAGGCCCUUUUCCUUGGCAUAGCGCAGGACGUCGAGGUGUCCGCCGCCGGCGGCAUCAUUGCAGUAGCCGCGCCACUUUGCGCCGCGCUCGUGUGCGUAGCGCAGGCAGUCGACACGGCCAUGCGCUUCGGCCAUCUCGCACACGUAUGGAUGCCAUGGGCAGCCGUGUUUGUGGGCAUACUGCAGACAGUCCAGGUGGCCCCUCUCGGCAGCCUCGGCAAGGCACUUCCCAUCGCGCCAACGAUGCCGAGUCGAUUCGCCGAGUCGCGCCAGGCAGGGCACGUGGCCCGCCCGCGCUGCCAUCGCAUACGCCUCGGCUCGACGCCUUUUUCCCCGCGGCCGUGGCGACAGCGUGCAGAGCGCGCGCCCUAGUGCUGUCGGAUCAUUUGCGAUUCGGUUCCACCGCCAGCAGACCCGGAUCGCACGCUGGCAUAGGUCGACACAUGGCAGGCACGACAGGACGGCGGCCAUCAGUUCGUCGGGCAGUGUAUCGAAAGGCGGCGGGUGCUCUGCACAACUCUCCAUCUUUGUCAUGCAGUCAGACUGCCGUUGGCGUCCGGUCGCCCUACCCUGCAAAAUUGAUGCACGGCCCGUAAUCGCGGCCUCUCUUUUACAAGCGGAAAUGGGUGCCCUUUUUUCUUUAGAAUACGUCUCGGCAUCGCCGGCGCGGCGUGCCGCAAGCGGCCGGUCACGAAAAAAAAAGGCAGAGAAAAUAGGCCUGGUGUGCGCAGCGCCGACAUGAGCCAAUGACAGUGCGCCUUGUCUGCGCCCACCAGGUCCAAAUGGCAAGAGCAUGCAUGGCCGACAAGGCAACAAUGGCGCGCGGCAAAGCCUGCCGAUCAAGACAACCCCAACAUAAUUGCCUUUCAAAUUGUCUUUGGUACCUCACAAAAAAAGAAGAUUGGUUUGCGGCUUUUUGUACCCGGCUUUUCGUGAAUGGAC
rnacentral:lncRNA from 1 species